rnacentral:misc_RNA from 1 species
UUUUUUUUUUUUUUUUUGAGAAAACCAUCAGAAUCAUUACUGUGGAGUUAGGCCAGCGAACUCACCCAGAAAAUCUAAUCACCAGAAGGCCGGCGAGUGAGUCUCACGUGCCGAUACAAGUUCACGCCGCCCUCCCACUCGCCGGCGCGUGAAGGUGCGUCUACCAUCCUCUGCCGCUCUGAUUGCUUUCACCGGCAUUGCCUUGGGUGUAUAUUGCAUCCCUAUUAGUUGUUUUGUCAUAGAGUGCUCUUGUGGAGGUGAUUUGUCUUGGUCCACCUACUGUUGGGUAUGUUUCUGGCUUCUGUUACACUUAAUUGCUUUAAAAUUGUGUCUUGAGGUAUGUUUGCUCUGUGUUUAUUGGUUUGGGAAAGGAAAUUUUUGUGAUUUGCUGCUGUGAAAUUUUUUUUAAUGACAGAAAGUAAAAGUGUAAUAAUUAAUGUGAUUCCUGUGAUGACUAAAAUCACGGAACACAAACUUAAUGGU